rnacentral:rRNA from 1 species
AUUGAACGCUGGCGGCAGGCCUAACACAUGCAAGUCGAGCGAACGAAGGGAGCUUGCUCCUGGAUUCAGCGGCGGACGGGUGGGUGAUGCAUAGGAAUCUGACUGGCAGAGGGGGAUGACGUCAGGACACGGGCGCUAAUACAGCAUACGUCCAGAGGGAGAACGGGGGGGAUCAUCGGAGAACGCGCGAUCAGAUGAGACUAGGUCGGAUUAGCUAGUUGGUGGGGUAAAGGCCUACCAAGGCGACGAUCCGUAACUGGGCUGAGAGGAUGAUCAGUCACACUGGAACUGAGACACGGUCCAGACUCCUACGGGAGGCAGCAGUGGGGAAUCUUCGGCAAUGGGCGAAAGCCUGACCCAGCCAUGCCGCGUGUGUGAAGAAGGUCUUCGGAUUGUAAAGCUCUUUAAUUUGGGAGGAAGGGCAGUAAGUUAAUACCUGGCUGUUUUGACGGUACCUACAGAAUAAGCACCGGCUAACUUCGUG